rnacentral:lncRNA from 10 species
AAAAGUUUUAGCAGGAUUUACUCUUCUAACAAGAUUUACAGAGUUAGCUUGGGUUUGCUUCCUCUCAUUGCCCUCAACUCAGAGACAGGUUUUGCAAAAUAUACAUUUAACAAACUAACUUUAUUUGAUCUUUGUGAAAAGCUUAGAAGAGAUUUAGUGGAGAAAUGGGAUUUGAUGGCCAGAGAAAGAAGAGGCAGAGGAAAUAGGAAGCUUUGACAAGACAAGUAGAGGUGAUGCAGUGGCCACUGAAGGGAUACCUCUCACAUGAUGUGGACAAAAUAAAUGUUUGAUAUUGCUACUGCUAAUGAUGAUGAUGGUUGAAAAAUAUUCACCUGACUGAUGACUUUACAGUCAGCCUGCCGAGAUAGCAGUUAGAUCUGAUCUGCCUGGACUUCUUAAGAAAGCAUCAAGGUUUUUGAGUCCUAGUUCUUCUUGCAACUCUGGACCUGUAGCACGGACAGGAACUAUGGAGCAACACAAGUCUCUCUUAGAUAAGAGAAUUAUUCAUU